UACGUAGGUGGCGAGCGUUGUCCGGAUUUACUGGGCGUAAAGAGCGCGCAGGCGGUCGAUUUAGUCGUGUGUGAAAGCCCCCGGCUCAACUGGGGAGGGUCACGCGAUACUGAUCGACUCGAAGGCAGGAGAGGGUAGUGGAAUUCCCGGUGUAGUGGUGAAAUGCGUAGAUAUCAGGAGGAACACCGGUGGCGAAGGCGGUUCUCUGGGCAUUACCUGACGCUGAGGAGCGAAAGUGUGGGGAGCGAACAGG
rnacentral:rRNA from 1 species